GACGAACGCUGGCGGCGUGCCUAAUACAUGCAAGUCGAGCGGACGAAUCGAAAGCUUGCUUUUGAUUCGUUAGCGGCGGACGGGUGAGUAACACGUGGGCAACCUGCCCUGUAGACGGGGAUAACACCGAGAAAUCGGUGCUAAUACCGGAUAACACGAAAUGUCGCAUGACGUUUCGUUGAAAGGCGGCGCAAGCUGUCGCUACAGGAUGGGCCCGCGGCGCAUUAGCUAGUUGGUGAGGUAACGGCUCACCAAGGCGACGAUGCGUAGCCGACCUGAGGGGGUGAUCGGCCACACUGGGACUGAGACACGGCCCAGACUCCUACGGGAGGCAGCAGUAGGGAAUCUUCCGCAAUGGACGAAAGUCUGACGGAGCAACGCCGCGUGAGCGAAGAAGGCCUUCGGGUCGUAAAGCUCUGUUGUUAGGGAAGAACAAGUAACGCAGUAACUGGCGUUACCGUGACGGUACCUAACGAGAAAGCCACGGCUAACUACGUG
rnacentral:rRNA from 1 species